UUAACGAAUAUAAUUCGGAGGGGGCUGUAGCUGGCCUCGGAAACGAGGCAUGUGCACGCUCCUUUCGUCUUUCAUAACUCACCUGUGCACCUAAUGUAGGAUGCUCCUCCUUCGGGAGGGGGGACCUAUGUCUUCAUACGCCUCUUCGUGUAGAAAGUCUUAGAAUGUUUACUAUCAGAGAGUCGCGACUUCUAGGAGACGCGAAUCUCUGAGACAAAAGUUAAUUACAACUUUCAGCAAUGGAUCUCUUGGCUCUCGCAUCGAUGAAGAACGCAGCGAAAAGCGAUAUGUAAUGUGAAUUGCAGAUCUACAGUGAAUCAUCGAAUCUUUGAACGCACCUUGCGCUCCUCGGUGUUCCGAGGAGCAUGCCUGUUUGAGUGUCAGUAAAUUCUCAACCCCUCUCGAUUGUUUUUCGAGGGGGAGCUUGGAUGGUGGGGGCUGCCGGAGACUAGGACCUCGUCCUUGACUCGGGCUCUCCUUAAAUGCAUUGGCUUGCGGUCGACUUUCGACUUUGCGCGACAAGGCUUUCGGCGUGAUAAUGAUCGCCGUUCGCUGAAGCGCAUGAAUGAACGUUCCGUGCCUCUAAUACCGUCGACGGUUACUAUCUCUUCGGAGAGAAAAGCGUCUUCCUUCAUUGACUUUUGACCUCAAAUCAGGUAGGACUACCCGCUGAACUUAAGCAUAUCAAU
rnacentral:rRNA from 1 species